AUCCACCUAACGAGUCCCAAAUAGGACGAAACGCGCUUUGUCCUGUAU
rfam:Schistosoma margrebowiei strain Zambia genome assembly, scaffold: SMRZ_contig0004532